rnacentral:piRNA from 1 species
UAGAUAAUUUUUGCAAUUUUA